UCUUUAGACCUGUGCAAUGGGUUGUUAUAGUACUGUGUCAGGGUAGGAAUACAGCAGCACGCUGUAACUUGCUAUGUGCCGCAGGGAUCUGGAGAGGA
rnacentral:SRP_RNA from 1 species